UGGGGAAUAUUGGACAAUGGGCGCAAGCCUGAUCCAGCAAUACCGCGUGUGUGAAGAAGGCCYUAGGGUUGUAAAGCACUUUCAAUGGGGAGGAAAACCUGCCGGUCAAUACCCGGYAGCUUGACAUUACCUWUAGAAGAAGCACCGGCUAACUCCGUGCCAGCAGCCGCGGUAAUACGGAGGGUGCRAGCGUUAAUCGGAAUUACUGGGCGUAAAGCGUGCGUAGGCGGUUCGUUAAGUCAGAUGUGAAAGCCCCGGGCUUAACCUGGGAACUGCAUUUGAAACUGGCGGACUWGAGUUGAGUAGAGGGGAGUGGAAUUUCAGGUGUAGCGGUGAAAUGCGUAGAUAUCUGAAGGAACACCAGUGGCGAAGGCGACUCCCUGGACUCAAACUGACGCUGAGGUACGAAAGCGUGGGUAGCAAACAGGAUUAGAUACCCUGGUAGUCCACGCYGUAAACGAUGUCAACUAGCCGUUGGUYCUAUWUACAGRAUUAGUGGCGCAGCUAACGCAUUAAGUUGACCGCCUGGGGAGUACGGCCGCAAGGUUA
rnacentral:rRNA from 1 species